rnacentral:tRNA from 1 species
GCGGAAGUGGCGGAAUUGGUAUACGCGCUACCUUGAGGUGGUAGUGGAGGAAACUCCUUGGGGGUUCAAGUCCCCCCUUUCGCA